UACGGAGGGUGCGAGCGUUGUCCGGAAUCAUUGGGCGUAAAGGGCGCGUAGGUGGCCUGGUCAGUUCGUGGUGAAAGCGCGGGGCUCAACCCCGCGUCGGCCAUGAAUACUGCGAGGCUGGAGCACUGUAGAGGCAGGCGGAAUUCCUGGUGUAGCGGUGAAUGCGCAGAGUAUCAGGAGGAACACCAGCGGCGAAGGCGGCGCGUCUGGGCUGGAACUGACGCUGAGGAGCGAAGCUAGGGAGCAAACAGG
rnacentral:rRNA from 1 species